CUUCCUUCCUUUCAUCUCUCUGUUCUGUCUUACAUCAUCUCACUCCCUUCUCUCUCUCUCUCUCUGUCUCUCUCUCUCUCUCUCUCUCUCUUUGAAAUAUGCAAUACUUUAACAACUUACUGGUUUUGACUGUUAGGUUUCUAUUUACAUUUAGCAAUUACCAAUAUAUUUAGUGAAACAAAUAUAUGCUUUGGAUCAUAUAAAUAGAACCCUCGGUUAUUCUUGUAGCUUUCCUGUUACUAUUCAUGUGAUCUUGGACAAGUUUACGCAGUUUUUAUUUAACCUUUUUCCAGUUUGCCCUGAGAAUACUUGCCAGCAGUGCUCGUGGCUGCAGCAUUUACCCCAAGCAGAACUAUAUUUCUUUGGCCAGAAGACUUCCUUUAAACGUCUCCCUCUUUCACCUCCACUGGAGUGUAGUGGUAUAGCUACAGCUCACUGCAGCCUUGACUUCCUGGCCUCAAGCCUUCCUCUUACCUCAGCCUCUAGAGCAGGUAAGACUACAGGCUCAUGAUCAUAUUUCGGUAAUUGGAACACAGCCAUUCCAAGGCUUUUAGCAGUUUCUUGUACAUUAAUCAUCUUGUUCCUGUCUAGACACUAGCUAUGAAUGUGAAGAAGCCAUUCUGGACAUUCCAGACCCAGCAGAUGCCACAUGGAACAGUACUGAGGUCCAAAACACAUGGUUUUCCACCAUAUCCUGACAAUUGAACUACCCUGGCUGAAGCCCAGACAUCAUGGCACAAAGACAAGCUGUCAUCACUGAACCCUGACAAAGUUCUUGACCCACAGAAUUGUAAGCCUAAUAAAAGUGGAUUUUUAAAAAAAU
rnacentral:lncRNA from 1 species